AACGAACGCUGGCGGCAGGCCUAACACAUGCAAGUCGAGCGAACCCUUCGGGGUUAGCGGCGGACGGGUUAGUAACGCGUGGGAAUAUACCCUUUGGUACGGAAUAGCCUCGGGAAACUGAGAGUAAUACCGUAUGUGCCCUUCGGGGGAAAGAUUUAUCGCCAAAGGAUUAGCCCGCGUUGGAUUAGAUAGUUGGUGGGGUAAUGGCCUACCAAGUCUACGAUCCAUAGCUGGUUUGAGAGGAUGAUCAGCAACACUGGAACUGAGACACGGUCCAGACUCCUACGGGAGGCAGCAGUGGGGAAUAUUGCGCAAUGGGCGAAAGCCUGACGCAGCCACGCCGCGUGAGUGAUGAAGGCCCGAGGGUCGUAAAGCUCUGUCGGGAGGGAAGAACAAAAUGACGGUACCUCCCAAGAAAGCACCGGCUAACUCCGUG
rnacentral:rRNA from 1 species